rnacentral:rRNA from 1 species
GACGAACGCUGGCGGCGUGCCUAAUACAUGCAAGUAGAACGCUGAAGGAGGAGCUUGCUUCUUUGGAUGAGUUGCGAACGGGUGAGUAACGCGUAGGUAACCUGCCUGGUAGCGGGGGAUAACUAUUGGAAACGAUAGCUAAUACCGCAUAACAGUAGAUAUCGCAUGAUAUCUGCUUGAAAGGUGCAAUUGCAUCACUACCAGAUGGACCUGCGUUGUAUUAGCUAGUUGGUGAGGUAACGGCUCACCAAGGCGACGAUACAUAGCCGACCUGAGAGGGUGAUCGGCCACACUGGGACUGAGACACGGCCCAGACUCCUACGGGAGGCAGCAGUAGGGAAUCUUCGGCAAUGGACGGAAGUCUGACCGAGCAACGCCGCGUGAGUGAAGAAGGUUUUCGGAUCGUAAAGCUCUGUUGUAAGAGAAGAACGAGUGUGAGAGUGGAAAGUUCACACUGUGACGGUAUCUUGCCAGAAAGGGACGGCUAACUACGUGCCAGCAGCCGCGGUAAUACGUAGGUCCCGAGCGUUGUCCGGAUUUAUUGGGCGUAAAGCGAGCGCAGGCGGUUAGAUAAGUCUGAAGUUAAAGGCUGUGGCUUAACCAUAGUAGGCUCUGGAAACUGUUUAACUUGAGUGCAAGAGGGGAGAGUGGAAUUCCAUGUGUAGCGGUGAAAUGCGUAGAUAUAUGGAGGAACACCGGUGGCGAAAGCGGCUCUCUGGCUUGUAACUGACACUGAGGCUCGAAAGCGUGGGGAGCAAACAGGAAUAGAUACCCUGGUAGUCCACGCCGUAAACGAUGAGUGCUAGGUGUUAGACCCUUUCCGGGGUUUAGUGCCGUAGCUAACGCAUUAAGCACUCCGCCUGGGGAGUACGACCGCAAGGUUGAAACUCAAAGGAAUUGACGGGGGCCCGCACAAGCGGUGGAGCAUGUGGUUUAAUUCGAAGCAACGCGAAGAACCUUACCAGGUCUUGACAUCCCUCUGAUCGCUCUAGAGAUAGAGUUUUCCUUCGGGACAGAGGUGACAGGUGGUGCAUGGUUGUCGUCAGCUCGUGUCGUGAGAUGUUGGGUUAAGUCCCGCAACGAGCGCAACCCCUAUUGUUAGUUGCCAUCAUUCAGUUGGGCACUCUAGCGAGACUGCCGGUAAUAAACCGGAGGAAGGUGGGGAUGACGUCAAAUCAUCAUGCCCCUUAUGACCUGGGCUACACACGUGCUACAAUGGCUGGUACAACGAGUCGCAAGUCGGUGACGGCAAGCUAAUCUCUUAAAGCCAGUCUCAGUUCGGAUUGUAGGCUGCAACUCGCCUACAUGAAGUCGGAAUCGCUAGUAAUCGCGGAUCAGCACGCCGCGGUGAAUACGUUCCCGGGCCU